UACAGAGGUCUCAAGCGUUGUUCGGAUUCAUUGGGCGUAAAGGGUGUGUAGGUGGCGCGCUAAGUCGGGUGUGAAAUUUCGGAGCUUAACUCCGAAACUGCAUUCGAUACUGGCGUGCUUGAGGACUGGAGAGGAGACUGGGAAUUCAUGGUGUAGCAGUGAAAUGCGUAGAGAUCAUGAGGAAGACCAGUGGCGAAGGCGGGUCUCUGGACAGUUCCUGACACUGAGACACGAAGGUCAGGGGAGCAAACGGG
rnacentral:rRNA from 1 species